rnacentral:rRNA from 1 species
CGAAAGCCUGACGGAGCAAUACCGCGUGAGGGAAGACUGCCUAUGGGUUGUAAACCUCUUUUUUCAGGGAGGAAUAAAAUGACGUGUACCUGAAGAAUAAGCAUCGGCUAACUCCGUGCCAGCAGCCGCGGUAAGACGGAGGAUGCAAGCGUUAUCCGGAAUUAUUGGGCGUAAAGCGUCCGUAGGUGGCUUAGCAAGUCAACUGUUAAAUCUUGAAGCUCAACUUCGAAAUCGCAGUCGAAACUGUUAGGCUAGAGUAUAGUAGGGGUAAAGGGAAUUUCCAGUGGAGCGGUGAAAUGCGUAGAGAUUGGAAAGAACACCGAUGGCGAAAGCACUUUACUGGGCUAUUACUAACACUCAGAGACGAAAGCUAGGGUAGCG